rnacentral:rRNA from 1 species
GAUGAAUGCUGGCGGCGUGCCUAAUACAUGCAAGUCGAGCGAACGGACGAGAAGCUUGCUUCUCUGAUGUUAGCGGCGGACGGGUGAGUAACACGUGGAUAACCUACCUAUAAGACUGGGAUAACUUCGGGAAACCGGAGCUAAUACCGGAUAAUAUUUUGAACCGCAUGGUUCAAAAGUGAAAGACGGUCUUGCUGUCACUUAUAGAUGGAUCCGCGCUGCAUUAGCUAGUUGGUAAGGUAACGGCUUACCAAGGCAACGAUGCAUAGCUGACCUGAGAGGGUGAUCGGCCACACUGGAACUGAGACACGGUCCAGACUCCUACGGGAGGCAGCAGUAGGGAAUCUUCCGCAAUGGGCGAAAGCCUGACGGAGCAACGCCGCGUGAGUGAUGAAGGUCUUCGAAUCGUAAAACUCUGUUAUUAGGGAAGAACAUAUGUGUAAGUAACUGUGCACAUCUUGACGGUACCUAAUCAGAAAGCCACGGCUAACUACGUG